AACGAACGCUGGCGGCAUGCCUAACACAUGCAAGUCGAACGCCCUCUUCGGGAGGGAGUGGCGCACGGGUGCGUAACGCGUGGGAACCUGCCCUUAGGUUCGGAAUAACUCAGAGAAAUUUGAGCUAAUACCGGAUAAUGUCUUCGUACCAAAGAUUUAUCGCCUUUGGAUGGGGCCCGCGUUGGAUUAGCUAGUUGGUGGGGUAAAGCCUACCAAGGCGACGAUUCAUAGCUGGUCUGAGAGGAUGAUCAGCCACACUGGGACUGAGACACGGCCCAGACUCCUACGGGAGGCAGCAGUGGGGAAUAUUGGACAAUGGGCGAAAGCCUGAUCCAGCAAUGCCGCGUGAGUGAUGAAGGCCUUAGGGUUGUAAAGCUCUUUACUGGGGAUGAUAAUGACAGUACCCAGAGAAUAAAGCUCCGGCUAACUCCGUGCCAGCAGCCGCGGUAAUGUGACUACUG
rnacentral:rRNA from 1 species